GUGAAUCAUCGAAUUUUUGAACGCAUAUUGCACUCUCUGGUAUUCUGGAGAGUAUGCCUAUUUGAGGGUCAUUUGAAAUAAUAUAAAUUCGAAGAUUUCUUGGAAUUUAAAAUGGGUUGUCGAUUUUUUGUGGUCGCCUAACAUUCAAGACAAGCUCAUUUUGUUGGGUUGCGUGUUACUUUCAGUUACCUAGUGACUUAACGCGGAAUCAUCGGGCGUGUUAUGAAUUUUGUAAGAGAUAACUAAUUCCAUAGAUUUAUUUCAUGCGAAAUAUAAAUC
rnacentral:misc_RNA from 1 species